GGGGGGUUCGUAUAGUGGCAGUACGACGGUCUCCAAAACCGUUCGCGUAGGUUCGAUUCCUACACCCCCUG
rnacentral:tRNA from 1 species